rnacentral:misc_RNA from 1 species
UCCGAUUUGUCACCGGCAGUAUCCCAUGAGUCCCCGACACUACUCGAUGGCAACUAAGGACAAGGGUUGCGCUCGUUGCGGGACUUAACUCAACAUCUCACGACACGAGCUGACGACAGCCAUGCAGCACCUGUCUCAUGAUUCCUUACGGCACUCCCACAUCUCUGCGGGAUUCCAUGGAUGUCAAGACCAGGUAAGGUUCUUCGCGUUGCAUCGAAUUAAACCACAUGCUCCACCGCUUGUGCGGGUCCCCGUCAAUUCCUUUGAGUUUUAGCCUUGCGGCCGUACUCCCCAGGCGGGGCACUUAAUGCGUUAGCUACGGCGCGGAAAACGUGGAAUGUCCCCCACACCUAGUGCCCAACGUUUACGGCAUGGACUAC